UCCAACCCUCGGCCGUCCUACUCUUAGGGACAAGCCCUUCUUCGAAAGGAAAGAAUUAAUAAAGAAUGGCAUCAUGAGUCCGCAUGUUCACAUGAUUAAAGGUAUUCCGGUAGACGAUGGGGAUGCGUUCCAUUAGAUAGUAGGCGGGGUAACGGCCCACCUAGUCUUCGAUGGAUAGGGGUUCUGAGAGGAAGGUCCCCCACAUUGGAACUGAGACACGGUCCAA
rnacentral:rRNA from 1 species